UGGGCGGCGGAGGCCCUUGAACCCUGGGGCCCUGGGCUUAAGCCCAAAUAGCCAUAUGGUAGAUCCGGCCCUGGACAAAAAUAUUGUUAUAA